rnacentral:rRNA from 1 species
UGAGGAAGGUUGGCGUGUUAAUAGCACGUUGACUUGACGUUAGCUGCAGAAGAAGCACCGGCUAACUCCGUGCCAGCAGCCGCGGUAAUACGGAGGGUGCGAGCGUUAAUCGGAAUUACUGGGCGUAAAGCGCAUGCAGGCGGUUUGUUAAGCAAGAUGUGAAAGCCCCGGGCUCAACCUGGGAAAGUCAUUUUGAACUGGCAGGCUAGAGUCUUGUAGAGGGGGGUAGAAUUUCAGGUGUAGCGGUGAAAUGCGUAGAGAUCUGAAGGAAUACCGGUGGCGAAGGCGGCCCCCUGGACAAAGACUGACGCUCAGAUGCGAAAGCGUGGGGAGCAAACAGGAUUAGAUACCCUGGUAGUCCACGCUGUAAACGAUGUCUACUUGGAGGUUGCGGUCUUGAACUGUGGCUUUCGGAGCUAACGCGUUAAGUAGACCGCCUGGGGAGUACGGUCGCAAGAUUAAAACUCAAAUGAAUUGACGGAAGG